rnacentral:rRNA from 1 species
AGAGUUUGAUCCUGGCUCAGGACGAACGCUGGCGGCGUGCUUAACACAUGCAAGUCGAACGAUGAAGCCCUUCGGGGUGGAUUAGUGGCGAACGGGUGAGUAACACGUGGGCAAUCUGCCCUUCACUCUGGGACAAGCCCUGGAAACGGGGUCUAAUACCGGAUAACACUCCUGCCUGCAUGGGUGGGGGUUAAAAGCUCCGGCGGUGAAGGAUGAGCCCGCGGCCUAUCAGCUUGUUGGUGGGGUAAUGGCCUACCAAGGCGACGACGGGUAGCCGGCCUGAGAGGGCGACCGGCCACACUGGGACUGAGACACGGCCCAGACUCCUACGGGAGGCAGCAGUGGGGAAUAUUGCACAAUGGGCGAAAGCCUGAUGCAGCGACGCCGCGUGAGGGAUGACGGCCUUCGGGUUGUAAACCUCUUUCAGCAGGGAAGAAGCGAAAGUGACGGUACCUGCAGAAGAAGCGCCGGCUAACUACGUGCCAGCAGCCGCGGUAAUACGUAGGGCGCAAGCGUUGUCCGGAAUUAUUGGGCGUAAAGAGCUCGUAGGCGGCUUGUCGCGUCGGAUGUGAAAGCCCGGGGCUUAACCCCGGGUCUGCAUUCGAUACGGGCAGGCUAGAGUGUGGUAGGGGAGAUCGGAAUUCCUGGUGUAGCGGUGAAAUGCGCAGAUAUCAGGAGGAACACCGGUGGCGAAGGCGGAUCUCUGGGCCAUUACUGACGCUGAGGAGCGAAAGCGUGGGGAGCGAACAGGAUUAGAUACCCUGGUAGUCCACGCCGUAAACGUUGGGAACUAGGUGUUGGCGACAUUCCACGUCGUCGGUGCCGCAGCUAACGCAUUAAGUUCCCCGCCUGGGGAGUACGGCCGCAAGGCUAAAACUCAAAGGAAUUGACGG